UAGUUCUUGUUAUGUUGAGAAUAACUACCAUUUAUAGGACACUAGAUCUGAGAAUCUUUGGGAAACCUGAAGCCAAAAAUACAUAUAUACACCCCAAAUUGUAUUUUUAAUGUAUCGUGCUUCAUGGCUACUAUUUUGAUAUGUGCCAUGGGAGUAGUCUUAUUGUCUGGUAUAGGGUUUUGAGUAAAAACAAAGCUGUACUAUCUGAUGACAAAUGCAUAAGGAAUAUUUUUUAUGGAGGAAUGGAUACAUAUUUUUAUGGGAUCGUUUUUCUCAUCUGACUAACACAUAAUUUGGAUGCUUUUGCCAGAAAAAGAUAAUGUGUCAGGAAUAGAUUAGAGCUCAUUAUGAAAAUAUGUUGCACUAUUAUCAGGCACAGAAAUUAUGCAUUAGAGUCCAGGAGAAUAGUGUCAAGCAAAUUAUAAAUGCCAUUUUUCAGUGAUCUCUAAACAGGGUGCCAUAGAACCUUGGGCAGGAAAAUAAUAAUACCUAUCCUUUACUGAACAUCUGCUACAUUAGCUGUUUUGUGUGUUCUCUAUAACACUCUAUUAUAAAGCUAUAAAGCAUAUUACAGUGUUACAUAUAGUGACCAUGAGAUAAAAUAUAUGUAUGAGUAAUUGAUGAGGGGAUUAGGGCUCUAGGAGAUGACUAACUUGCCUAACCUCACAGAUCUGGUGAUUGGCAGGGAUGGAUCCAUUCUCCAAUCUUUGGGAUCUUCUGAGACUAUUGUCUUUCCACAUGGAGCCCAUGACUUUUUGUAAUUUCCAGAAAAGGAGUGCCUUCAUAUUAGAAGCAUUGUUCCCUAUGAAACAUCUCUGCCACAUUUGAAUCUCAGGCAAAAAUAUACAAAGGAGGGAAAGUCUGUGAAAAUGCAGAAGCACUAUUGAGGAGUUGUGGCUUUUUAUUUAUUGUUAUUUAUUAUCUGGUGGCAAAUAAAAAUUUUGACAUAAAAAAGAGCAAAUUAGCUCUUAUUCCUGAAUCCAUAAAUUCAGUUGGUAGUGGUCUUGUAAAAACUGUCUUAUUAGAAUGUCUUACUGAAACAUGACAUUAGGUUACAAAUAAUUUAGGAUCUGUUUAAAGAUAGCAUCAUUAAUUUCUCUUUGUUUUCCAUGUUAUCUGAAAUAAGAUCUUUUAUUUGGAGAAAGAUGCUUUAGAAGCAAGAAGCACAACUAACUUAGCAACUGAAAGUUUCUCAGUCUUAAGAAUGGUGAUUGUUCAUUAUUAAAUCAGUGGGCAUAGAUCAGCAAAGCUGCUUCCAAAGGUAAUUUCAGAUGAAUCAAGCCCUAAGGGAAUCCAGGCAAAGGUUUCUGAUGCACAUGUUAAUCUGAGUCUGUCUCACUGCCAGAGGCAGUAACAGAAUCCACAGCAAUGAGCAUGCUAAUAGAAUAACUGGAUGCAUGUAUGGGGAAAGUGAAGCCCAAUAGGUCACUAGUCUUUGUUCAGCAGCAAGAUUUCUUUCUAUUCUAAAUUUUCACAACAAAGUAGUUAUACAAACUCAGGUAAAUCUCAAGAGGUUGAAUAAUGAUUCACAAGGCAAUUAGAGUAUUUCCAUUUGAGAAGUAGUCAUUGUUUUGGUAUGCCAUUGAUUGUUCAGUUCUGCUGGUUUCUUCAAUAGUAAGGGAGCAAAAUGUGCCACCCCAAAAUGUGCUAUUUGGGCAUAUUAUUUUGAAUUUAAAGUUACUUAAACAGUCAGUGCAAGAAAGACACUCUGACCCUCCUUGGUCCCACUGAAUGCAGGAAAUAAAUCUCCAGUGUGAAAGGUACCCUACCUGUACCUUAUCACCAGAGAAGGAAUUCAGGGCUGAGAAUGCUGUAUAAACAAAACUUGUUAUUUCUUCACUAAUGUACUACCACAAGCCCAAACUUCUUUGACUUGUUGAUUCUACACAGAUUUAUUAUUUCUUUGUCUAAAAGGUAUAAAAGCUGCCUUCUUUGGUCGCUUCUUUGAAUCCUGUAUUUCUAGGAGUUUCCAUAUGUAGGAAGUUAAAUUUAUUUUUCUUUUGUAAUCUGUUUUAUGUCAAUUUAUUAGUCCAGCCAAAGAACCUAGAAGGAAAGAAAGGAAAACUUUUCCUCUCCGACAACAGCAAAAGGAAAUGGAAACCAUUUCUGUAAUUGCCAAUAUGCAGCUUUACACAGAAACCAGUUGGACUAGAAUGAAAGCAAUGCCAGCCUUCCAGUUAAUGAGAUUUCUCAAUCAAUCACCAAUACCGGCUAAGUGCCUGCUUUAGGGGUGUGCUCUUCUAGGUAAACUGUGCUGUUAGAUUUUCUGUGUAGACCUAUGAGUGCCUCUCCAAAACCUGGAAGAAGGGGAAAUUAGUUUGCUUUAAGAGACAAACAUUGAAAUCAACAUAUAAAACACCAAUAAGCUAAUUCACCUCAAAGAGAUUGAAUGGCUCCCCUGGCUAAUUGUAACCUGAUUGAAUGAAAUUCAACAUAUUUAAAGGAAGAAUGUGUUCAUGAAUGAAGAAAUGAGUCUGAGAGAGAGAGAAGCAAAGGUAGAAAGUAAAAAUCCAAGCACCUAGAGAAGAAGGAGUCUGGCCAAUGCAAUUCUGAUGCAAAUUAAAUAUUGAAAUAUUUUAUAUCUAUGAACAAACACAAAUUAAAAAUAAGAGGCUAAGUUCUUUCUGUUAAAGGGAGGAUUUCUCUCCCCUUCCCUUUUUUAGUGUAUUUACUUUGGAAAGCUUAUAAAUUAUUUUUCUCCUCUUUGAAAUGUCUUUUUAUUUUUAUUUAGAUAUAAUUGAGAUAUAACAUUUCAUUAGUUUCAGGUAUACAACAUAACAAUUUUCUUGUAAUUGUGAAAUGAUCAUCACACUAAGUCUAGUUAUCAUCCAUCAUCAUACAUAGUUACUGUUUUUUUUUGGCAAUGAAAACUUUUAAAAUCUACCCCUUCAGCAACUUUCAAAUAUACAAUACAGUAUUAACUGCUGCAUAUUACAUCCCCAUUAUUUAUUUUAUAUCUGGAAACUUGUACUUUUUAACCCAUUUCUCCUUCCUCUGACUGCCUCUCUCUGACAACCACCAUCCUGUUCUCUGUAUUCAUAAACUUUUUGUUUGGUUGGUUGGUUUUGUUGUUUUAGAUUCCACAUGUAAGUGAAAUCAUAUGGUAUGCAAGUCUUCUUAAAACUUAAGCCUCUUGCCAUACAGAUCCAGGAAUAUCUUUCUCCAGGACCAAGGAAUGGUGUCUGAAAGGUACUAGUCAAGCAAGAGCACCCUUACCACUCCUGUUCUCCCAGUUUCUGUGGUAGGACAGUGACCUAACUUCAGUGGCAGCCUCAAUCCAUGUUGCAAAAUUACCUCCAUCAUAAAGAUACAAGUUUAUUUUUCUUCUGGGUAAAAGCCAGUUAGCCUAUACAGAUGGUCACUUCAAUUAUCAAGUGAUUUGAGGAUGAACUAUGUGUGACAAAUGGUGCUGUUAAGUUCUCUUCCUUAAGACACACACACACACACACACACACACACACACGAUUUCUCCUUUUUUUUCUGAAUUCCCCUUAAUAUUUUGUACCACUCUUAUGAUUGGGAUCCAUGUCCUGAAGUUUUCUUCCUAUGGUUUUUUUCCUAAACUCUUGCUAGCAUUGUUUUUCAUUUGUUAAGAAAUGUCCUAUGUCAUCAUGUAUUACGCAUGGUUACUAAGAUAGCUUUUUACUUCACCACAGAAGUUCAUGAAUCUCAUUUAAAAUAGAGCACUUGUAUGUCAUCAUUGCUAUUUCCAAACAAACCCAACCAAUUUUAACUCUUCAAGUAUAAGAACUUUUCAUAACAACCUUAAUCACCUAUUUUGUCCUACCCUUCUCAGUGCUCAUCAAGCAAAUUAUAUAUGGAGAACAUCACUUUUCUAAUUAAAAUAUGACAUUUACAUUAUUACAUUUUAAGGAAGGUGACUUUUUCAAAAAAAAGGAUAAUAAAAUCUUAUGAUUUCAUUUGUACUUAGCAGUUAAAAUGUCUUUUCAUUUCAUAUUGUUCUAGAGAGUGUUGAAAUGCUGCCUUCAAACACCAAGACAGGAGGAGGAAUUCAGGCUUAAAUUGAUAAAUGGCAAGAUUCUGGUGAUAAAAUGCCUACAGCGAAGAGAGGAAGUAAGGUGAAUGACCUGGGCUACUGUUGACCUUCUGGCAGUAUGUCAGAAGGAGGAUUAUCUGCUUCCCAGCUGCAGGUGACCACAGAAUACUGUCAGUCUCUAAAUGACACUGGAACAUCACUGAUUAUCACCCUUUAAAGAUGCCUUAAAACUACAGAACUACUGAGAAAGAGAAGAAUAUUUGCAAAGAACAACAAUGCAAUGGGAAAAUUAGAGGCUUACCAAUGAAGACUAAGGAUUCUCAAAAUAGGCUCCUCAAAACUGUGGGGAACCCCGAGGCCCUAUCAGAGAGAUAUGCAAGGUCGAAAAUAUUUUCACAUGAACACUACGUUGUUAUUUGUUUUUUUCAUUGUGUUGACAUUGCAUACGUGGUGCAGAAGCAAUGACUGAUUCAUGCUGGAGCUUUAGAAUGAAUCAGGGCAGUAACACAAAAUAUACUAGCAGUCACUGUGUUCUUCAACAGCAUACACUCAUAGAAAAAAAAAAAGCCAGUUUCACUUAAGAAUACUCUUGAUUAAGCAGUAAAAAGUAUUAAUUUUGAUAAAUCUCACCCCCUGGGUACACAUUUAGAAAAUACUCUGUGAGGUGAAAUGGGAAAUACACACCCAACACUUCUGCUGCAUAAUGAAGUAUAACAGUUGUCUGGAGGAAAAUCCACUGUUUUGAGUUGCAAGCUGAACUGGCUGCAUUGUCAUUAAACACCCUUUAUACUUGAGAGAAAAACUUGACAAACUGUAAUUAUCCAUACUUAGAUAUUUGUCAGGCAUUUUCUCAAAAGUAAGUGAAGUGAGCUUGUUACUUUCAGGAUACAACUGACAGUAUUGUUGCCAGUGAUAAAAACCAAGCUUUUGAGUAAAAAUUAGAAUUUUGUAAAACUUGUAUCUGCCACCAUGAGCUUGAUAGCUCUCCAGUAUUUAACUACUUUUUUGAUGAGUCUGGUGGUUAUUGACAAAUGUAGUUUUUAAAUACUAUGUGAUAAAAUAAAAUGUGUCAACUUUCAGACAAUCUACAUUACCCAGUGAACCAUUGUUUUCCAAAUGCCCAAUGAUGUCACAAAAUCAUGUAUCACUAAAAUAUCCAUUCAAAGGGCAAGAUAGACUUCUUUAAUAUCACAGGGUAAGAAAAGUUUAUUGAUGUGAUUUUAGAUCCACACUGCAAAAAUUCUUAAAGAAACUACCGCCUGUUGAAUUUUGGUAUAAUAUCAAAGAAGAAUAUUCACAAGCUAUUAAAAUACUCUUUCCUUUUUCAACUACAUAUCUAUGUGAGACUGGAUUUUCCUCAUCUGUUUCAAACAAAACAAUUUAUGGCAACAUAUUGAAUGGAGAAGCAGAUAAGAGAAUCCAUAUGAAUUCUAUUAAGACAGAUGUUAAAGAGAUUAGUAUGGUAUAAAAUAAUGCCACUCUUCCCACUCAACUUAUUAUUUUGUAAAUAUAGUGGGUUUUUUCAUAAAAAUAUGUAAUUAUGUUAUAUAAUAGGUUUAUUCUUUUUAAAUGAAUUAAUAGCUGUUUCUAAGUUUUCUUAGUUUUAUUUUUCCAAUAAUUAGAUAUACUAAUAAACAUAACCCAUGUAACUGAAAGAUCUUUGGGGUCCUUAAUAACUUUUAAGAGUGUGAAUGGGUUCUGAGAACAAGU